rnacentral:rRNA from 1 species
GGAUUCCCCUAGUAAUGGCGAAUGAAGCGGGAACAGCUCAAAUUUGAAAUCUCCGUUGCCUGCAACGGCGAAUUGUAGUUUCGAGAAGCACUUUCUCGGCGGACCCGGGGCCGUCCAAGUUGCUUGGAACAGCACGUCAUAGAGGGUGACAACCCCGUCUGUGGCGGAACCGGCCGUUCACGAUGUGCUUUCGACGAGUCGGGUUGUUUGGGAAUGCAGCCCAAAAUGGGUGGUAAACUCCAUCUAAAGCUAAAUAUUGGCACGAGACCGAUAGCGAACAAGUACCGUGAGGGAAAGAUGAAAAGCACUUUGAAAAGAGAGUUAAAAAGUACGUGAAACCGUUAAAAGGGAAACGAAUGGGGUUAGCAAUGCGCUCCGCCAGAUUCAGCCGGUGGACGGGCUGGGCGGGCGGUUUGCGGAUCUGAAUGGACCGCGGCCGUCUGGUUCGGCACUUCGAUCGUCGCACUUCUGGCGAGCGCGCGCCAACGUCGGUUGGGACUGGGUCUCAAAGGCGCCGGGAAGGUAGGUUCUGGUCCCUCGGGGCCGCAACUGUUAUAGACCGGCGUUUUCCAUGGCCCGGACCCGACCGAGGAGCCGCGGCGCAUGCCUCUUUUGGCUGGGGUCCCGUCGUCACGGUCGGUAGUCGACUGUGGUGGACUGCAUGCAGUGCGCCACGACCGCUGCCGGUCGCGGCGGCGGUGACCUCACACCAUGCGCCCAGGACGUUGGMGAGUCUACAUGKSCKCRAGUCUUCGAGUGAUCGAAACUCCCAGGCAGAAUGAAAGUGAAGGCGGCUUCGGCCGCUGAGGUGAGAACCCUCCCCCCCCAACCGGGGGCGGGCGCAUCAUCGACCGACCUAUUCUACUCUUAGGAAGGUUUGAGUAAGAGCGCAUCUGUUGGGA